rnacentral:lncRNA from 1 species
AACUUUUGCUAGGUUCUACUGUUCUCCUAUACAUCCUUGACUCUCUAUCAACAGAUAAAAAGAAUGAGAACAAGUCAGUUGCUGUUGAGGACUUUCUUCCUGCUGGAUAUGAUACUUAAGUUACUUCAACGACCAGAAUCUUCUUAUCUGGCUGUUCUUGUCAACGUUUCACUGAGGUAGUGCGUAUGAAGUUUUCGCACUUUCCAAAAGAUCCUUUAUUAAGUGAUAGCACUUAUUGAAUGUAGCAAGGUAUAUAUGGGUACUGAUCUAUCUUCUUGUAUAUCUAGUCAUUUGUGAUCUUUAAAUUAGCUGCCGCUCUCUACUGGAAAAAUAUAAGAGAAGUUGGUAGUUGUCUUGUACAUGAAAAGAAUUCAAAUGAUAUCAUCCUACCUUUUAUCUCAGGGGCUUGGACACCCAUUAUAUCAUUGUGAUAGCUGUUAUUAUCUACUUGGCGAUAGUCCCAAGUACUACACCGAUGGCGUUAAGCUUCACCCAAACUAAAAUCUUACAACUUAUGUGACAGGUGGUUGAAAUACCCAAAGGCAGCAAAGUGAAGUAUGAGCUUGACAAAGCAAGUGGCCUUAUAAAGGUGCUAUCUUGACCAGUGAUCUUUAUUUCAAUUCUACAACUUUUCUGAAUUCAUUGAGAGUUUUCACUGUUAUGAUAAUUAUUCAAGUCAAUUGCUGAACUUGUGUCUAAAAGGUUGACCGCAUACUGUACUCAUCAGUUGUUUAUCCACACAACUAUGGUUUCAUCCCAAGAACCCUUUGUGAAGACAGUGAUCCAAUGGAUGUCCUAGUGCUGAUGCAGGUUUGCUCCGUUUACACACAAUAUACAUGCACGUACACACACACAUCUUCCUUAGGCCCAAUCUUGCAUUAGCUGUCUCAAUGUAAGCUCUCUCUUGGGUACUCUUACAUCCAUCCAUAUGUUGUAUAGGAACCUGUGUUACCUAGUACCUUUCUUCGUGCUCGUGCAAUUGGAUUGAUGCCUAUGAUUGAUCAGGUAAGGUUUUUCAAUAGAGUAAACUUUCUGCCAACUGUACUUUAGGACAUGGUGAAAAUUGCUGGAGAAAACACCAUUUGCUUAUAAUUUUUUGAAAUAGUUCUUUUUGUUUCCUUAAGUUUUAUCAAAGACCUAUUUUUAACCUUGAGUGCCCUAUAAUACUUGAUAAGAAUAUCAUUGAUCAGUUUUUCCCCGUCAACUUUGAUGGGGUUGAUAAUUUCUCAUCAUCAAAGUUGAUACAAAAACUACGAGAGGGAACAAUGAAUCCGGAGAAAAAUUUUAAUAGGCACAGACCAAAUAACUUGGUUGGGUGCGACAUUGUGGCACCAUAGUUAUAUAUCCCUUUUAUGUGAGUGCAUUACAACAUCUGUAAUGUAAUGCUAGUCCUUAAGCAAAACAUGGAAUUAUGGAUUGAUGUUAAUGUUCUGUUACAGGGUGAGAAAGAUGAUAAGAUAAUAGCAGUGUGUGCAGAUGAUCCCGAGUUUCGCCACUACACAGACAUCAAGGAGCUUCCUCCUCAUCGUCUUGCUGAAAUCCGGCGCUUUUUUGAAGACUGUAUCCUCUGAUAUGACAUUUGGCGGUGUAUUAAAUAAAGAAGGAAAUACUCCAUGUUCAUCCUGAUAGGUUUCUGAGGCUGCUGGAUGUGUAUGGAGAUUCUGGCUUCAUAUAUUUCCCCAAUGGGUGUCCAUUGCCAGUUCUUAUGCAUGUCAAGAAUAUAUUUGAGUAAACCAAUGUCUGCAAAUCAUAGCUUUUGUCAACUUUUGCUAGGUUCUACUGUUCUCCUAUACAUCCUUGACUCUCUAUCAACAGAUAAAAAGAAUGAGAACAAGUCAGAUGUUGUUGAGGACUUUCUUUCUGCUGAAGCAACUGUUGAUGCCAUCAAGUAUUCCAUGGACCUAUAUGCUCCAUUUGAUGGGAUUGUUUAUAUUCUUUGUAUUUCCAGAAAGCCUAACUAAAAAGUUCCGCCUCCAUGGUUGUGAUCACAGGGACCUGUAUGCUUCUUACAUUGUGGAAAGUUUGAGGCAGUGAUCUUGUUGAGGACUUGCUGUAGUCAAUAUUGGAAAUUUAAGAAGAGAAGCCGGUUAACUUGUUGAAGAUGGCUCUCCGAACUUCAUAUGCUUACUUUAGUUUUAAUGUGGUAUUAUGGGAUAUUUGAGAUAUAUGUAGAACUUCUAAUUUUCAUGAACUCAAAAUAGUUUUUGGAAAAGAAGCAUUGGGAAAAAAUCACAGGUGAUGUGCGCUUGAUGGUGCUGUAGAAAUGAUGCUUGCCCAUCGUCUGUUAAGAUUCCAAUGGACAAUAUUAGCUAUCUUGUUUUGAUUUGGUUUGGUUUCUGUUGCUCUCUUUCUGGCUAUUGCUAACAUCUCAAGUCAACCUCUAAGUUCUAGUCAGGUAGUAGGAACUGCUGAUACCUUUAUAAGAAAC